GAGUUUGAUCGUGGCUCAGAACGAACGCUAUCGGUAUGCUUAACACAUGCAAGUCGAACGGACUAAUUGGGGCUUGCUCCAAUUAGUUAGUGGCAGACGGGUGAGUAACACGUGGGAAUCUACCCAUCAGCACGGGAAUAACUUUUAGUAAAUAAAAAGACUAAUACCGUAUAUUCUCUACGGAAGAAAGAAUUUAUCGCUGAUGGAUGAGCCCGCGUCAGAUUAGGUCGUUGGUGAGGUAACGGCUCACCAAGCCGACGAUCUGUAGCUGGUCUGAGAGGAUGAUCAGCCACACU
rnacentral:rRNA from 1 species